rnacentral:lncRNA from 1 species
AAGUGCUGUUCACAGUUUUGUAAGGAGCUUUAUUUGAACUCCUCGAAACUAAACACCUGAGACGGUGAAAGAUUAAGUGAUUUGCCUGCGAUAGCAUUAAAGGAUUAUACAUUUUUACCCAUGCCAGGCCUCCUUUACCGGUAGAGUAUUCUUCCCUGCCUUGUUGUCAGGCUUGGUUCUGUGAUUCACUUGGAAUGACAUUUCUUACCCAUAUGAUCAUCUUUGGGAUCAAUGCGACCGUGACGUUGAUUUCACCGAGCACUUUAGGAGACUGCUCAGGAAAAGCUACCAAUGAACAAAAUGGAAUUUGAAGCUGAAACACCUGGAAGACUUGGUAUGGACUUGGCCCUGGUCUUGAAGAAGGAGGCCACGCGAGUCUGAGGCAGGCGCCGGCGGGUCAGGGCAGCACCGAGCCACCAGGUCCCCAAGGAACCCAGACACAGCACAGGUGUGGGGGAAUGUGAAGACAGUGGGCCUCAAGGGCUGGCCCCAGAUGACGAGUCUCUGAUGCCGGAAGUCCUAGCAAGUGCAUUUCCUGCAGGACUGAUACUGAGCUUAUCUGUUUUCAUGGUGACCAGGCGUAGUCGAUUCUGCAGACUUAAAGCCAGUCUUCCCACCGUCUCUGACCAGGACCUUCACGACUUAUCUCCCUGCCCAGGCCUGGCCUCCCUGAUCCACCCCUCUUGCCAGCUCCACUUGAACACCUUCAAUGACUUUGUGGUGUCUUGGACACAUCCGGCUGCCUUAGCAGGCACAUGGGACCUCCCGUGGCCUCAGACAUCCCCACUGGUGGCCAGGCCCAUCAUAGUUGGGCUGGACACAGGGGCCUCCCCUCCAUGCUCUGCACACAUCAGAGCCCCCCAGGGCCCCUCAGGGCUCUUGCACUUCUGGCUGGACCACCCUGGCCCCCUCACUGUCAAACUCCUCAUCCCGCCUUUAAACUCACAGCAAAUGUCACUGCAUUUGUGGAGACCCUCCCACACCCUCCCUAGGGGCCCACAGCUCCCUGCCCACACCCCACAACUUCCCCUCAGGUAUAGAAGGCCCAGUGACCAUGAUCUCAACCCUGUGGGAGCCUCAGCACCCGCAUGGGCCGGGUUCACGCUGGGUGACCAAAUGCCGUGUGGUACACAAUUCAUAAAAUGAGAGAAGAAAUGCUUUGGGGGCCUCUGAGCCCAGAGGCUGAGGAACCACAUGAGAAGUGAGUGGCACUCUGCAGACGUGGCCCCUCCUUCCCUGUUUAUGCUUCAAGAUGGCCGAGAACCAGAGCAAGACCAGAAGCUGCAGGAUGAAAUGAUGCUCUGGACCAGACUGGUGGUUUUGACCAGAGGCUGCAAAUGAGGCCUGCGUUUGGCUUGAUGUGCUCAGCUCACUAAAAUGCAAGGCCUCCCGGAGAGGAAGACCUUGCCACCAUUUGUAGGGCUGACUGGCUCCUCUACGGAGAAGGCAUCAACAAAGCUGGAACAGAACAGAGAAUUCACCUUAGGAUGUGGAGCCUAGAAGUGGGGGUGACCCGCUGGACACAACAUCAGGUGCAGCACUCCUGGAUAGUGAAGCCAUGUGGAGCCACUGCCCAGGAUCAGGAAAGGCCCAGCACAUGCUGCUGACCUCUUCAUUGUAUGCACGCCAGGACUCAGCAGGAUGGCCUGAGACAACCCUAAGCAGGACAGAACACACUGCAAUCAAAUCAGCCUCUAAGUUGGCCCCAAACAUCAAAUGGGCCUGGGCAUGAUGGCGUAUUUUCAGGCACAUAUAAACUUGGCCUGUAUUCCUCAGGGCGUGAGUCUGGCACCUCUCUGGAUCAGUAAAUAGGCUUUUUGAAAAGCCCAAACAAACCAUAAGGAAAUCCUGCAUUCUGAAACAAAAGGUAUAAAAGCUAAGUAAAGACACACACUGCCAUUGUCUGCUUUGCCAGGAUGUGAGCUGUUGCCUUGGGAGAAAGAUAACAUGAAAGAGGCCAUAAUUGCAGGGCCAAGACUGCAGGCCCCACAAAAACAGGACGAAACAUAGCAAAAGCGGGGGAAAAAAAAAAAAAAAAAAAAAAA